rnacentral:other from 1 species
CGAACCCUGCUGUGUGCGUGAUGGCGCUUUUGCGGUUUUGAGCCAACACCUACUUCAAAGGGGACCGGCUUCCUGGGCGGGAUGCGUUAGCCCGCGAGGGCAAGGCAGAACGACCGGGUAGGUUCCCACCUGCGAGAGCAGGUUCAAAACGGCGCUCCACACGGCACAGCGGGGUUGCU